rnacentral:piRNA from 1 species
UAUGUCUUUCUACCAAGUCUUUGUGGGCC